rnacentral:siRNA from 1 species
ACAUUUUAGCUAAUAACAUAGA